UUUGGCAAUGGUAGAACUCACACUGGUGAGGUAGAUGGAUCCGGUGGUUCUAGACUUGCCAACU
rnacentral:pre_miRNA from 5 species